AUUGCCUUCUGAUCUCCAUGGGCAACAAGCACGCCGUGGUGUGCAUACCCAUAUAUGCAGGCAAACAUACACAUAAAAUAUAAGUAUUUUAAAAAUGCAUUUUUCUUUUCUUUAUUUUUCUCUUUCCUUCUUAUUUAAUUUUUUAAAUGUACAUUGGUAUUUUGCCUGCAUGUAUGUCUAUGUGAAGGCAUAAAAUCACUUGGAGCUGGAUUUAAGAUAAGUUGUGAGCUGCCAUAUGGAUGCUAAGAAUUGAAGCAGGGUCCUCUAGAAACACAGCCAGUCCUCUUAACCACUGAGCCAUCUCUCUGGGCCCCAUUUAAAAAAUAUUCUUUAAAAUAAUAUAUAAAGGUACUGGAGAGACUGCUCAGUGGUUGAGAGCACUGGCUGCUGUUAUAAAAGACCAAGAGUUUGGUUCUCAGGUGGCUCACACCUGCCUGUUACUCCAACUCCAGGAGAUCCAAUGUCCUCUUCUGGCAUCCAUAGGCACCCUUACACAGGUGCCUACAUAGACACACAGACAUACACAUAAAUGAAAAGAAAAUAAAUCUUAAAAAGUAAUAUAUAGAGAUCACUUAAUUCAGAACAACAUGAGAGUAUUUCAACCAACAAACUUCUGAACCAACUCUAAAUAUGAGCCUAGUAAUUCUCACCAAUUGGGACAUUUCAGGAACUAUGCCAGGGGAAGAUGCCAGCAUUCUGUCUGUUUUCCAAAUGACAACACAAAGCAAACAGUUAUUUUUUAAUAUCUAUCAUCAAUGAUAUUCAUCAUUAUUUCAUUAAAGAAUAUUUAGUACCAAAAGAUAGGAGUAUUUUUAGAUCAGUGUGUACAUCAUUGUUUUAUAUUUAUAAUUAUUUAGCCUAAUUUAAAAACAACUUGUACUAUCAUUGUUGUACUAAUUUUGCUGUUCUUUGACCAAAUUUUAUUUUUCAUGAGACAUUUUCUCAUUAUUUAGCCCAGACUAGAUUUGAAGUACAAUCUUCUUGCCUUAGUUUCCCGAGUGCUUCAACAACAGGCAUGCCAUACCAUGCCCAGAUCUGAUUUAAACAAUUAUAUGUAAGAUUGGUUUACCUUUUACAACGAGAUUGUCUGAAUGUGUCAUGGACUGGGGGCGGCUUCGAAGUUUGCUUUUGAAAGAUCUUGGCCUGCGUGGCGAUGCAGGUGACAAAGGAACCUCUGAAGAUUGCGCUUUGUUGUCUUUAGUUGCUCGAAGGCGUUCAUAGAGCUCUUGUAGCUCUUUAUUCUGUUGUGUUUGAAGACUGACCACCUCUUGAAUGUGUCUGAAUAGAAAUUAUGCAAAAAUAUUAAUAACUUUGUUGCCAUAAAGACAACUUCAAAAAGUUUAUGAUGGUACAAAUAAAGCUUAAAAAAGCAUUAGUAAUUUUUGUUUGUUUAUUGAGACAGGAUUUCUUUGUGUAACAGCCCUGGCUAUCCUGGAAGACCAGUAGAACCAGUAGGAAUACCUGUAGACCAGGCUAGCCUUGAACUCACAGAGCCACGUGCCUCUGCCUACAAAGCAUUAGUAUUAGAAAUGGUGUAAUGCAGAUUAUGUUUACAAUUUUAGGAUGGAAAAUACCUUCCUAAAUAAUAAUACUAAUCUAUUACAAAGAAAAGGAUAGACAAACUGAUGAGGACAAAUCAUUAGUCUCAAUAGAGAAGGAGACAUAAUGAAUAGAAUUUUAAAGCCAAAUAGGUAAAUAAUAUCUUCUUUCUCCUUAUUAUAGACUAUUAUUCAGAAGAUUUAAAUAGCUCCUAAAAUCAGUAAUGAAAAAAAUUUUUUAAAGGAUAAAGACUACAAAAGGGGGGCUGGUGAGAGAGCUCAGUGGUUAAGGGCACAUACUGUUCUUCCAGGACUAGAGUUCAAUUCCCAGCACCCACAUCAGGUAGCUCACAACCACCUGUAAGUCCAGCUCCAGAAGAUCUAACUCCUCUGACUUCUGUGGGUAUGAGAGAACGCACCACACACACAUGAAAACAUGCACAUUUAAUUAAAAAUAAAAUUUAAUUACAAAUAAAAGAAAUCUUUAAAAAGAAAAAGAGUUACUUGAAACAAAAAGAGCUAUAAAUAGCGAUGUAAAAAAUUAGGAGUGGGUCUUGCUUUGUACUCAGGCUUAUGACUCAGCCUUUAAAGUGGCUAGGAAACAGGCAUAUGUCACCAGGCCCAGCUAAAAAAUGUUUUAAUUCAUCUGAUUAGCAUAAUAUUAAAAGUUUUGUAUCCAAUCUGUGUUAUUAAGAUAUAGAGAAAUGAGCACAUUGUAUAUUUUGGAAUAUCAAAUGGUCUGGCUUUCCUAGAACAUAAUUUUUUUCAGAUUUUUUUUUUUUGACACAAGAUCUUACUAUGUAACACUGCUUAACCUGGAACUCACCAGUUAGCCUUACCUUUGCCUCUACCUCCCAAGUACUGGGAUUACAGGCACGAGUAACCAAUCUGACAUCAAACACAAUUUCAACAAUUAUCUAUAAGCUUUAAGAGUACAGACCUUUUAACUGUAUACCACAGAAAUAUCUGUGUGUAAAAAGAUAAGUAUCAUUUAUAUAAGCAGAUCAUGAGGAAGACUGAAAAACCUCUUGAGAAAGGAUUAAAUAAACUUGGAUACACCCAUUAAUUGGAAUUAAAUGCAGUGACUCUUUAAAGGCAGAUUUAUGCAAAUAUGAACAACAAAAAUAGACUACAUUUUAAAGCAAAAAAAUAUAGAAUAGCAUGUUUGUUAUUUAUUUUACAAAAAAAGGAUAUGCACAGAAAAAGGUCAGCAAUAUAUGUUCCAAACAGUUCACAGUGAGUGCCUCUGAGUAAUGGGGUACAGUAUAAGAAGUACAGGUUUGUUUUUUAGCUUGCUUUUUCAUUAUGUUACCUGAAUAUUAUCGUAUAUAUCGCUUUUUUGAGAUAGGCUCUUACUACUAACCUUGCUGGCCUGGGACUCACUAUGCAGACCAGACUAGCCUUGAGCUCAUAGUGAUUUGCCCAUUUCUGCCUCCUGGGUACUGGGAUUCAAGGCUGUGGCCUGGCCUCAAUUUUUGAAAUGUAACUUUUUAAAUACAAAACUGUACAACUAUAGAUUGUACAAACUAAGGGGUAAAAAAUCUCAGCUUACAAUUAAUUGUUGGUCUAUAGUGUCUAGUAUUGUCUAAUAAAUUACUAUGGACAAACCAUACUGACAAAAUAAUGCUAAAGGGCUAGGGAUGAAUUUCAGGGGUAGUGAGACAGAAAAGGGAAUGGGCAUUCAUUCCCUUAGCCACUGGCCAGGUUUUAACACUAUCAAAAUGUGUUAAAGAGUUAAUGAUAAAUUCUUUUGCCUUCCUAUUCUAAGAACUCCUGAUGUUUGCUUUCCUAUUUUAAAAACAAAAACCCCAGUUACUAGGGGACUAUGCAAUUUGACUCCCUAACUAGUAGCUCUUGGACUCUUCCUUGCUUCCAUGGUUGCUUUGAGUACAAAGACUGUCAGCCAGCCAGCUGGACCAUUCUUAUGCUAGCACCAGCAGUUUUAAACACCCUACUGAUGCCUUGAGAAAAUUACACAACAAAUUCACCUGAUUGCUCUAGCUCCUGGAGUUAGAGGCACAGUCUUAACUAGGACUGUUCUAACAAUGUGUUCUCAGCUUUUUGCUAUCAAAAGCAUUGCAGAGCUCAGAAGAGUCUGAAAACAUUUUCCUUUCUCCCUCCAAGGCCAGAAGGGAAUAAUGUCUGGUGGCCUACCAGAGGGGCUGCUGUGGCUGUUGCUAAUCGGACAAUGCUGUGGAAGGUAUGCUGUGUUUUACCCAAAUAUUCCUCUAGCUAUAUAUGCAGACUGUUAAGACCCUCUUGAAUCCUGUGCUAGCUUCUCUGGUGUAACAUUAAGCCCAGAUGAAGCUUCUUCUCCUGGGUGGUCUUGUCUUGCUUAUUUUCAGUAGUAUAGGCUUGUCUGAAAACACAAAGAAACAGCAGAGCAAGCAGAGGCAAUGAGAGCUGAUCAGUGUGCAGGCCUGAGCUAUUGAAAGUGGCAAGGCAGUUGGCUGCCUGACAGCUGAAGAAGAGACAGAGUUUGGUUGUCAGUGGGCUGAGCUUCAAAAUCAGUAAGGUUCAGUGGUUGGCAGUUGAAGAAGAGGUAGCUCUAUACUUCAACUGAGAGGCCAGUCAGGAACUAGGGGGAUGGUGGAAGUUGAAAGGAAAGGGAGCUGAGGCUGAAAAGGAUUGAAAGCUAUAUAUAUAUAU
rnacentral:lncRNA from 1 species